rnacentral:tRNA from 1 species
AUUCAUUUAAUAUAAUAAGUAUAAUUAGCUUCCAACUAAAAAGUUCAAUAAGAAAUGAAUA